AGGAGGAACAACCUCAGUGGCGGGGCCAGCCCUGGAGCCCUGGAUUCAGCCCCCGCAGUAACUCCGGAGCUCUCCGUCUGCAGGGCCUGGAGGCUCCGGGGCGGG
rnacentral:pre_miRNA from 1 species